GAUGAACGCUGGCGGCGUGCUUAACACAUGCAAGUCGAACGAUGAAGCCCAGCUUGCUGGGUGGAUUAGUGGCGAACGGGCGAGUAACACGUGAGUAACCUGCCCUUAACUCUGGGAUAAGACUGGGAAACUGGGUCUAAUACCGGAUAGGAGCGCCUACCGCAUGGUGGGUGUUGGAGAGAUUUAUCGGUUUUGGAUGGACUCGCGGCCUAUCAGCUUGUUGGUGAGGUAAUGGCUCACCAAGGCGACGACGGGUAGCCGGCCUGAGAGGGUGACCGGCCACACUGGGACUGAGACACGGCCCAGACUCCUACGGGAGGCAGCAGUGGGGAAUAUUGCACAAUGGGCGAAAGCCUGAUGCAGCGACGCCGCGUGAGGGAUGACGGCCUUCGGGUUGUAAACCUCUUUCAGUAGGGAAGAAGCGAAAGUGACGGUACCUGCAGAAGAAGCACCGGCUAACUACGUG
rnacentral:rRNA from 1 species